UCACCAUGAGGAGAGAAUGGGAGACGCCUGGAGCAGACCCGUCCUCACUGAUCUGCAUCCUGGAUCCAAGCCCAUGUCAGCUCAGUGACUGGGAAUCAGUGAUUCCGGACCAGUGGCACAUGGAUGAGAGAACUGAGGUUCAGAGAGCCAGCACGACUCAUUUACUCCAGAACUAGGAGAUGGCAGAGAGCCAGGAACGGAAGCCAGGACCGUCUGUUGAUGGAGCUCUUUAAGAGUCAGACGGGAGAGGAGUUUCCAAGAAAUGGGUCAGGAAGAUGAGCCAGCUGCGCCUCCCAAGACACAUGCAUGCCCACAACCUCCUUUCCUCCUCUCACAUCAGGUCUCCAACUCACCACCACCCAAACCAGGUUCUUACAACAAAAGGGACCUUAGUUCAAACCCCCCAUUCCACAGA